AGUCAGCGAUCCUGACAGCCCGAUCCCAUGGCUCGCCUCUUACGACAAGCAUGGGUUGCUGAAGACCAAUUCUAACCCGGACCUUCACGGGU